rnacentral:rRNA from 1 species
GUUUGAUCAUGGCUCAGAUUGAACGCUGGCGGCAGGCCUAACACAUGCAAGUCGAACGGUAACAGGAAGCAGCUUGCUGCUUCGCUGACGAGUGGCGGACGGGUGAGUAAUGUCUGGGAAACUGCCUGAUGGAGGGGGAUAACUACUGGAAACGGUGGCUAAUACCGCAUAACGUCGCAAGACCAAAGAGGGGGACCUUCGGGCCUCUUGCCAUCAGAUGUGCCCAGAUGGGAUUAGCUAGUUGGUGAGGUAACGGCUCACCAAGGCGACGAUCCCUAGCUGGUCUGAGAGGAUGACCAGCCACACUGGAACUGAGACACGGUCCAGACUCCUACGGGAGGCAGCAGUGGGGAAUAUUGCACAAUGGGCGCAAGCCUGAUGCAGCCAUGCCGCGUGUAUGAAGAAGGCCUUCGGGUUGUAAAGUACUUUCAGCGGGGAGGAAGGUGUUGUGGUUAAUAACCGCAGCAAUUGACGUUACCCGCAGAAGAAGCACCGGCUAACUCCGUGCCAGCAGCCGCGGUAAUACGGAGGGUGCAAGCGUUAAUCGGAAUUACUGGGCGUAAAGCGCACGCAGGCGGUCUGUCAAGUCGGAUGUGAAAUCCCCGGGCUCAACCUGGGAACUGCAUUCGAAACUGGCAGGCUUGAGUCUUGUAGAGGGGGGUAGAAUUCCAGGUGUAGCGGUGAAAUGCGUAGAGAUCUGGAGGAAUACCGGUGGCGAAGGCGGCCCCCUGGACAAAGACUGACGCUCAGGUGCGAAAGCGUGGGGAGCAAACAGGAUUAGAUACCCUGGUAGUCCACGCCGUAAACGAUGUCUACUUGGAGGUUGUGCCCUUGAGGCGUGGCUUCCGGAGCUAACGCGUUAAGUAGACCGCCUGGGGAGUACGGCCGCAAGGUUAAAACUCAAAUGAAUUGACGGGGGCCCGCACAAGCGGUGGAGCAUGUGGUUUAAUUCGAUGCAACGCGAAGAACCUUACCUGGUCUUGACAUCCACAGAACUUUCCAGAGAUGGAUUGGUGCCUUCGGGAACUGUGAGACAGGUGCUGCAUGGCUGUCGUCAGCUCGUGUUGUGAAAUGUUGGGUUAAGUCCCGCAACGAGCGCAACCCUUAUCCUUUGUUGCCAGCGAUUAGGUCGGGAACUCAAAGGAGACUGCCAGUGAUAAACUGGAGGAAGGUGGGGAUGACGUCAAGUCAUCAUGGCCCUUACGACCAGGGCUACACACGUGCUACAAUGGCGCAUACAAAGAGAAGCGACCUCGCGAGAGCAAGCGGACCUCAUAAAGUGCGUCGUAGUCCGGAUUGGAGUCUGCAACUCGACUCCAUGAAGUCGGAAUCGCUAGUAAUCGUGGAUCAGAAUGCCACGGUGAAUACGUUCCCGGGCCUUGUACACACCGCCCGUCACACCAUGGGAGUGGGUUGCAAAAGAAGUAGGUAGCUUAACCUUCGGGAGGGCGCUUACCACUUUGUGAUUCAUGACUGGGGUGAAGUCGUAACAAGGUAACCGUAGGGGAACCUGCGGUUGGAUCACCUCCUUACCUUAAAGAA